GGCGCGGUAGCCAAGCGGUAAGGCAGCGGUCUGCAAAACCGCUAUUCGCCGGUUCAAAUCCGACCCGCGCCUCCA
rnacentral:tRNA from 1 species